GAAAGUCUCUUUUCCAUUUGACGAAUAGUUUCUCAUCCCUCUGCAAUACUGCAAAUGACGAUUGUCUUAUUAGGCAAGCAUCUUGUUAUUGGCGUUGGAAAACAGUCUUCUCCAUUUGAUGAAUGUUUUGGUGCUAAAAGGCGAAUAAGAGAAAAGUAGCAGAGGGUGUUUCGGCAUUGACACUUGUCACGUAUGGAACUCCAAGUGUUUAGUUUCUUUGAUUUCAAAGAUAAUCGGAGUUAUUGCGUUAAUGGGAAGAAGACUGAAUCGGAAUGCAUGCCGGAAUACUUCUCAGCAGUGUCAGGAUUUUCCUCAUAUCAGUGAUAUAGGUUUUUUGGUUCAUCAACACCGAAGCAUAUUCAAAAAGGGUUAAAAUCAAUAUCAGUUUCGGUGGUUCAACUUAUGGUAGUUUUUCAGUAUUUCAGGUUUUUUAGCUCAAGCAUCCCAACAAUGUAGUUUGGUGCAACAUAAUGAUAGGCCUCAAGAGACUACUAUUGCCUCUCAACUCUAUAACCAACUUUGGUAUCCCGUCAGUGUAGGAAAGGGAAGAAAGGGCUGAACUUGUUCUUUUCCCAACCAAGACCCUUGAUAUAUGGGAAUGUAUGCUUAAUAUUUUUGACAUAUUUGCAUGAAUCUACUCCAUAUGUUCUUACUGAUUUGAGAGCAAAAAUAAACAGAUUCACUAUUCACCAUGGACCUUUAAUGCAUUAAAAAUACUCAAAUUCAGG